GACAGAGGAUGCAAGCGUUAUCCGGAAUGAUUGGGCGUAAAGCGUCUGUAGGUGGCUUUUCAAGUCCGCCGUCAAAUCCCAGGGCUCAACCCUGGACAGGCGGUGGAAACUACCAAGCUGGAGUACGGUAGGGGCAGAGGGAAUUCCGGUGGAGCGGUGAAAUGCAUUGAGAUCGGAAAGAACACCAACGGCGAAGGCAGCACUCUGGGACGUGACUGACGCUGAGACGCGAAAGCGUGGGGAGCAA
rnacentral:rRNA from 1 species